rnacentral:rRNA from 1 species
CCUACGGGCGGCAGUAGUGAGGAAUAUUGGUCAAUGGGCGCGAGCCUGAACCAGCCAAGUAGCGUGAAGGAUGACUGCCCUACGGGUUGUAAACUUCUUUUAUAAAGGAAUAAAGUGAGGCACGUGUGCCUUUUUGUAUGUACUUUAUGAAUAAGGAUCGGCUAACUCCGUGCCAGCAGCCGCGGUAAUACGGAGGAUCCGAGCGUUAUCCGGAUUUAUUGGGUUUAAAGGGAGCGUAGAUGGGUUGUUAAGUCAGUUGUGAAAGUUUGGGGCUCAACCGUAAAAUUGCAAUUGAUACUGGCAGUCUAGAGUACAGUAGAGGGAGGCAGAAUUCGUGGUGUAGCGGUGAAAUGCUUAGAUAUGACGAGGAACUCCGAUUGCGAAGGCAGCUUACUAAGCUGCCACUGACAUUGAUGCGCGAAAGUGUGGGUAUCAAACAGGAUUAGAUACCCGUGUAGUC